rnacentral:misc_RNA from 1 species
UUUAGCGUUGAACACUGUGAACUUUCUCCUAAACGAACAAUCGUCGGUCGCCAUUCCGAACGAAGCUCCAUAUUUGUAUCUGCUACUACUUCCUAUAUUCAAUUUUCAGCUCUUUAAUUCUUAUCCAAUGGAGACGGCCACUGCUUUCCGAUCUGGCUUCAGCAUCUGUAACAGAGCCACCAAGGCGGCUCUUGGUGGGUCCGAUUUUGUUCGAGUCGGGUCACAGCUUCGGAUGUCUCCUUCUGGGAUCAAGCUUUAUCCCUCAAUUUCUCAUGUGAAGUUGAGUAACAGGAAAGUGGCUUUUGGUAGCAGGAAAUAUACUGCUAUCAGGGCAUCGGUAUCACCUUCUGAGUCUGGAGGUUCAGCUGCCCCUAUUGCUCCACUUCAGCUGGAAUCUCCAAUUGGCCAAUUUCUGUGUCAGAUUUUGACAAGUCACCCACAUCUUGUCUCAGCUGCUGUAGAUCAACAACUUGAACUGCUAAAAAUUGAUCGUGAUGCAGAGCAACAGAAGGAAGAGCCAUCUAUAGCCGGUACUGACAUUGUUUUGUACAGGAGAAUUGCUGAGGUUAAGGCAAAUGAAAGGAAAAAGACCUUGGAAGAGAUAUUAUAUGCCUUGGUGGUCCAGAAAUUUAUGGAUGCCAACGUAUCUUUAGUUCCUGCAAUAAGUCCAUCUUCAUCUGAGCCUUCUGGUCGAAUUGACACCUGGCCCAGCCAAGAUGAUAAGCUUGAGCAUCUUCAUUCAGCAGAAGCUAACGAGAUGAUUCAAAACCACCUGUCUCUCAUUCUUGGAAGUCGGUUGGGUGAUGAUUCUGCAGUGGCACAAAUAAGUAAAUUAAGAGUAGGCCAAGUUUAUGCUGCAUCAAUUAUGUAUGGAUAUUUUCUCAGGAGAGUGGACCAGAGGUUUCAGCUGGAAAAGAGCAUGAAAGUCCUUCCUCCGGGUGUAGACAAUGAAGAUAGUAGCAUCCAGCAAGUGGCAGGCGAGGAUAUCAGUGGUGAUAGGAGUGAUACCUCUUUCAGAUCAACAACACAAACCCACCCAGAAUUGACAUCAUGGUCUGCAGGUGGUGUGAGUCCUGGAGGUUUUGGCCAGGGGAUAAAACCCUCAAGAUUGAGAAACUAUGUGAUGUCAUUUGAUGGGGAGACCCUCCAGAGAUAUGCAACCAUCAGAUCUCGAGAGGCCAUAGGCAUGAUUGAGAAACACACCGAAGCACUAUUUGGUAGACCUGAGAUUGUUAUCACCCCUCAAGGCACUAUUGACUCAUCUAAAGAUGAACUUAUUAAGAUCAGUUUUGGUGGGCUGAGGCGGCUUGUUUUGGAGGCUGUAACUUUUGGGUCUUUCCUCUGGGAUGUUGAGAGUUAUGUCGACUCAAGAUACCAUUUUGUUGCCAAUUAAAUUUUCUGGUGACUCCACUGUGGAGUCAGAUUUAUGCCCGAACUUAGAAACUUAUUGCAGUAGCAUGUUUUAAGGGGAAUACAGUAGACCAUGCUUGUGACUUGUAUAUAUGAUAUUUCAUAUUAGACAAUAUUUAACAACAGUAUGUUUCCUUCAUAUAAGACGUUAACACGAUUACAUGUUUACUUAUUGG